rnacentral:rRNA from 1 species
AUUGAACGCUGGCGGCAUGCCUUACACAUGCAAGUCGAACGGUAACAGGUCUUCGGAUGCUGACGAGUGGCGAGCGGGUGAGUAAUACAUCGGAACGUGCCCGAUCGUGGGGGAUAACGAAGCGAAAGCUUUGCUAAUACCGCAUACGAUCUAAGGAUGAAAGCAGGGGACCGCAAGGCCUUGCGCGAAAGGAGCGGCCGAUGGCAGAUUAGGUAGUUGGUGGGAUAAAAGCUUACCAAGCCGACGAUCUGUAGCUGGGCUGAGAGGACGACCAGCCACACUGGGACUGAGACACGGCCCAGACUCCUACGGGAGGCAGCAGUGGGGAAUUUUGGACAAUGGGCGAAAGCCUGAUCCAGCCAUGCCGCGUGCAGGAUGAAGGCCUUCGGGUUGUAAACUGCUUUUGUACGGAACGAAAGGACUCUGGUUAAUACCUGGGGUCCAUGACGGUACCGUAAGAAUAAGCACCGGCUAACUACGUGCCAGCCGCCGCCGUAA